GCUGAACGCAUCUAAGCACGAAGCCGGCCGCAAGAUGAGAUCUCCAUGAGGGUCGUCCCAGACGAGGACGUCGAUAGGCAGCAGGUGUAAAGGCGGCGACGUCAUAGCCGAGCUGUACUAAUUGCCCGAAUGCUUUCGCUCG
rnacentral:rRNA from 1 species